rnacentral:piRNA from 1 species
UGCCACAAAAAAAUNCAGAUAGUAUUUUGUG